rnacentral:rRNA from 1 species
CGUUGUAACACCGGUCCUCGUACGAUCACUGAAGUUAAGCAACGUCGAGCCGGGUCAGUGCUUAGAUGGGUGAGCGCUUGGGAAUACCAGGAGCUGUAAG